rnacentral:rRNA from 1 species
GACGAACGCUGGCGGCAUGCUUAACACAUGCAAGUCGAACGAAGCACUUUAUUUGAUUUCCUUCGGGACUGAUUAUUUUGUGACUGAGUGGCGGACGGGUGAGUAACGCGUGGGUAACCUGCCUUGUACAGGGGGAUAACAGUUGGAAACGGCUGCUAAUACCGCAUAAGCGCACAGCAUCGCAUGAUGCAGUGUGAAAAACUCCGGUGGUAUAAGAUGGACCCGCGUUGGAUUAGCUAGUUGGUGAGGUAACGGCCCACCAAGGCGACGAUCCAUAGCCGACCUGAGAGGGUGACCGGCCACAUUGGGACUGAGACACGGCCCAAACUCCUACGGGAGGCAGCAGUGGGGAAUAUUGCACAAUGGGCGAAAGCCUGAUGCAGCGACGCCGCGUGAGCGAAGAAGUAUUUCGGUAUGUAAAGCUCUAUCAGCAGGGAAGAUAAUGACGGUACCUGACUAAGAAGCACCGGCUAAAUACGUG